rnacentral:rRNA from 1 species
AGGACAGCAGCGCCGCGGUAAUACAGAGGGUGCGAGCGUUAAUCGGAUUUACUGGGCGUAAAGCGUGCGUAGGCGGCUUCUUAAGUCGGAUGUGAAAUCCCUGAGCUUAACUUAGGAAUUGCAUUCGAUACUGGGAAGCUAGAGUAUGGGAGAGGAUGGUAGAAUUCCAGGUGUAGCGGUGAAAUGCGUAGAGAUCUGGAGGAAUACCGAUGGCGAAGGCAGCCAUCUGGCCUAAUACUGACGCUGAGGUACGAAAGCAUGGGGAGCAAACAGGAUUAGAUACCCGUGUAGUCCCUGUCUCUUAUACA